rnacentral:rRNA from 1 species
AUUGAACGCUGGCGGCAGGCCUAACACAUGCAAGUCGAACGAGUGGCAGACGGGUGAGUAAUGUCUGGGACACUGCCUGAUGGAGGGGGAUAACUACUGGAAACGGUAGCUAAUACCCCAUACCCGCGCAUGGGCCCAGAUGGGCUUAGCUAGUAGGUGGGGUAAAGGCGCACCUAGGCGACGACCCCUAGCUGGUCUGAGAGGAUGACCAGCCACACUGUAACUGAGACACGGUCCAGACUCCGACGGGAGUCAGCAGUGGGGAAUAUUGCACAAUGGGCGCAAGCCUGAUGCAGCCAUGCCGCGUGUAGGAAGAAGGCCUUCGGGUUGUAAAGUACUUUCAGCGGGGAGGCGUUACCCGCAGAAGAAGCACCGGCUAACUCCGUGCCAGCAGCCGCGGUAAUAC